CAACCGCGGACUCCGCCGCCGCAUGCUAGCGGGGAUGUGGUCAACCUGGACUCCGACUAGACUGGUUCCAUGACAGUGUAUAGUGAACAGAUGUGUACAGUAAAGAUAUAAUAGGUGCUUCAUGAAGAUGGGGCGAGGGGGCCGCAGCCCGACGACCGCCUAGAGGCUUUCCAACACCCACAUAUCAUGAAUCUCAAUAUAUUUUGACUGUUAUUUUGAAACGUUCGGGGACAAAUGCAAUGUUCAAAUCUUAUAUUUUAUUCCAUUUAUGAAUUUCUAUGUUUCUAUGACAUGCGAUAAGCAACACUCCGGUCUUUAAGGUUCGUAACGGCUAUUGCUAUGUAUGACAUCAAAGUACACUAAACUUUUUAAUAUUAAUAUUGUAUGGAGGAUUGUCGUGUCCACAUAUCAGUGAAUCUCGAUUUUUGUUAUAACUCAAAUGCAUUCUGUGACCAGUGGAAGCCUAUGGCGUAGACUUAAUUGUAAUAAUCGCACAAGUUUCGUCAUAUUUUAAGGUUUCUUAGUCGCGCGCUCAAACCUAAAAUGUGACACUUGUGCACAUUUGAAUAGACAUUCUAUUAUCUGACACUCGUAGGGUAAUGGCAUUAUUUGGACAAAAUUUUAACUAAAGCGUCCUAUAUUUGUGGUCAGCACAGAGUACAGCAUUUAGUCAAAAAAGUUGGCUACCUGCGAUUUUUGUAUGCAUGUCUCUUUUUACUCUACCACCACGAUUCUACAGAGACAUUUUAAAUGCCCAUCUUUUGGAUUAUAACAGAUUGGACCAUUUAUUUUAACACGCCAUUUUUUUUAAACCUUCCCACUGUAUGAUAACAGUGCCAGACAGCACACAUUUUAAUUUGAUAUUUCUUCUACCGCAAAUAUUGGACGCCGUGAGUGUCGGCUUGAUAUUUUAAAUAUAUCUCUCAGUACAGGAACUUAGAAAUUAAGGUAUGUUAUAUGUCAGUAGCUAGAAGACUUUUGUGUGGUAUCAAGAUAUGGAGAGCCACAAGUAUCAUGUCGAUAUUCACUGCACGAUCAUACGCACUCAAUAUAUUAUAACAUUAACAAUAUAGUGAUGUAUUUGUGCUACUAUAGUAACAGCAACACCAAUUUGCAUAGAAAAUGUAUUGGUUUAUUUGUCAUGUUUUGAAUUCAUUUCAUAAAUUAGUAUCGUGUGGUGAUCUCUAUUUUUGUAUGAUGCAAAAAUCAUGUUUUUUCUUCCACUAAGGUUUUGUCAUUGAUGAUAGAAAAUAUAUCUUAAAAUAGUUACCUUUUAAUAUUGGGUAUGUUAACAAACAACAUGACAUAUGGAUUUUCCAUAAAUAUGUAGAUUAAUUAUUGUGUAGUUGAUAUUCAAUCGCAACAUAAUAUAUUAAAUUUGAAAAACAACUGAAAGAUUACACUCUGAAAUAAAUGUGUCUCCAUAUUUUCAUGGAGCUGAUUGAAAUUUGAAAAUGACAUUGAUUAUAAAAAUGGCUUACAUUUCCUGACUUUGUUGAUUCAGAGUAAUUAUAAAUUCAUUAGAGAUUAAAGAAAAUAGUGACUUGUUUAUAAUUUUUUUAACUCUUCCAUAACUUACUAUCAAACACCAUCUUGUUAGAAGCAAAUGUUCAAUGUAUGAAUGAUCGAUCACACUUGUGCAUGUUCUUCAAUAUGUAAGAAAUUCUCUAAGGGGUUUUUGGUAUAUUGUUGUGGAUCAUUGUAUUUCAUACAGAGUUACACCAGCUGUAACUGUUAUGGUUCAUUAUUUAUUCGGCCUGGUAUGACAGGUGGUUUAGUUGUGAUAUUGCCUAAUCUUAAAUUUUUGUAUACGUUUACUUUUAAUUGAGUCACAAUUGUGACUUUAAUAUUAAAUCCAGCAAUCUGUAGCUCCUAUUUUAGAUAAUUACCAACCAGCGCGCGACAGACGGAAAUGCAUUUCUAUAGCUGAAGGAUUUCGUUUUCUAAAAGAGAAAUUCUGUUUGUUUUUAUGAUGUUCUUUUUACUGAUUUCAUAGAUUUUAUGCUAAGAUAAUGUUAUUUAUAGUUAUAAUACAUAUACCUAUGUUUACAAAUGAGCAGUAUUUCAGUUAGUUUAUAAGUUCGUUUUUACAUGAGCAUAUUCAGAGGUAGGUAUUGUUUUUAUUUUCAAUAGAAAUUGCUACUUAAUUGUGAGGUCGCUGCACACCAGCGAGAACCGCUGUAAUUGUUUCUUAUUUAUGUAUGUAAUAUAUAAUGUAAUAACUGUAGAAAUCUUCCUAUUAUUUUGUAGUACAAUCAAAGUAUAAUAAAUAAUUUGGAAAUGUGUAAA